rnacentral:snRNA from 1 species
CUAGACCCUAAACCCCACUGGAACCGAUAAAAUUGGAACGAUACAGAGUAGAUUAGCAUGGCCCCUGCGCAAGGAUGACACGCACAAAUCGAGAAGUGUACCAAGUGUCG